UUUCCGUAGGUGAACCUGCGGAAGGAUCAUUAUUGUAUAACCGCGCUUCGAGGGCUGUCGCUGACCCGCUAGGUCGUGCACGGCCGAGUGCCCUGACACCCAUCCAUCUCACCCCUGUGGGCACCACCGCGUGGCUCCCCCUUUGGCUAGUUCGGUGGGACGCUUACGUUUUCACACAAACUUUGUAUGCAGUAUAGAAUGUAUUUUUAUUUUUGCGAUCCCGCGAUCAAUCCAACUUUAAACACGGGACCUCUCGGCUCUCCCAUCGAUGAAAAACGC
rnacentral:misc_RNA from 1 species